AGCGCGGCCCGGCUGUGUCCCUGCGUCCCAGGGGCUGGGCGCGCCCGGCCUGCCCAGCGGGGGAUGCGGGGCGCUGUCACUUCCUCCCAGCAGCCGGGCAGGGGCGGGGGGCUGGCCGCGCGUCGCAUGGUAUGUGGAGUUCGGGGGACGGCACGGGGACGACGGGGUUGUCAGGCGCGGAGCCAUUGUCCGACGACGGCUCCUGAUAGGCCGCCUGGAUGGGGCGCGCUUGGCCGCGUUCCCGCGUCACACACCGGCUCCAGCUGCGGGAGAGCCCGUCCCACCCCAACUCCCCAGCCGCCCCUCUGAAGUGUUCCGGUGUCACCGUGGCCACAAGGAGGCAGGGGACGGGGGCUUCCUGAAGGAGGCCCCCUAAGGGGAAGGGGGCUACAAGGCUGGCCAGAGUGCUGGCCGCGCGGCUGUGCACAGGGCCUUGAGCCCCUCCGGUCGUCAAGCCUUGCUUGAAAUGCGUAAAUGCGGAAAGGUGAAGUGGCUGACCCGGCUCACACCACUUUAAGUAGCGGAGUGGGGUUCCUAGCCAGGCCUAUGGGACUCCCACUGGAGCCUUUCCCCCUCUGGGGCUGGGGCUGGACCCACAGGCUGCCGGAGCAGGCAGAAGGGGAGGGGCCCAAGGCCCAGACUCCAGGGCCUCGUCUGGAUCAUCAACCCGGCUUUGCCCAUUCAGCGCAGGCCUCCGUUUCCAGGCCUGUCUCCCCAUCCACACCGUCUCUCAGGGUUUGUUUUGGGAGAUGUGGGGGUGGGGCAUGUGGGGAGGAUGGAAAGGGGCUGUGAAGGGAACCCACUGGAGAUUCACUUCCUUCCUUAUUUCACACUCUAGGCUAGGAAUUCCUGCCCUCUGGAAAGGACCCAGACAUUUAGGAAUUUCCCGCUGGGCAGGGGCUUCCCUCCUGCCUCACUGGGGCCUCUGCUCCUCCCCUCUUUUGUUUGGCCUCUUUCCCCGCCCCCUGAUCACUCCGCCACCCCUUCUGCAGCCUAGUAACAGGUCUUCCAGGACCAGGGGGGCCAGCGGAGUGGGGGCGGCUGUGGGUUCAGGUGCCCUGGGAACUGAGAACUUCCUCUUCCAGAGUGCUGGCCAAGCGCCAGGUUUGCACUCGGAUUGCCAUCCAUCAUCCUGUCUCUGGGGAACCUGUGGGGGAGCGGAUGCGGGAGGCCGCCAGGAUGCAGGAUGGGGCGUUAAGGCUGCCAACCCCACCCCUUCUCUCCUAGGACUCCAGGGAUGACAUUUUUCAGAUGAGUCCACAGAGCCGCGGUGUCCCGGGGCUGGGAGGGUCCUUCCACCGGCACCGCGCAGAUGGAGUUCAUCCACACAGGGGCGAUGAGGAUACGGGCUGAGGGGCCCUGGCCGGUGGCUGCCUUCACGGCUGGCUGCUGUGGCCUCAUUGUGCAAUCCCCACAAGCCUCUCCUGCCAGACUCUGUUCCCCCACCCCACCCCCUCACCCCCCCUCCCAUUCCCAAGCAGAUCGGGAAAUUGCUCGGGAAGUCUGCAUCUGCCAGGAGGGCGUUGUCAGGCCUUAGGCCCCACUGUCCCCUCGAAGGCAGCCCCUGGUCUCCACGGGCUUUGCAGGGCUGAGGCGGGGCUGCCACCCUUGUCCCCCACUGACGGCAGUGGCCCGCCCAGAGCACCGGCUGGGGAUUGGGAAACGAGGCUGCUGCCUUGGACUUGUGUCUGCACCAGUCACUUCCCCUCUCUAAGCUCAGGCAUGAGGGUCAAUGGUAACAUACGUGAAGUCCUCAAGACAAGGAAAGUCUUCUGAAAAUGGGGCAGCAUGGAGGCCCAAGGGAUGACAGCCAAUGGGGCCCAUAGGGCAGGAGCAGUCCUUACCCUCUUCUCGCAGAUGCAGAAAGCAGUUCCCAAGAGGCCAGGCACUUCCAGAGGAGCCAAAGGCCAGCCUACGGCUCCUCCCCAGCAGGAAGCCAGCAUCACAUGCUGGGUGGCGAUGUUUGUGACCAGUGGCCAGCGGCUGUCCCAUUCCCCAGCUCCCCAGGGCACAGGCCAGGGGCAGUGAGCAGGGGGCUCUGCCUGGUGGGGAGGGCAGCAGACAGGAGCAGACUGGCAAUGACCUCUCCAUUUAGCCUAGAAGGCGAGUGUGCCAGCACCUGGCCAGGAGCCACGGUCAGCUCCUCGCACGCAACCCAGGGCCUCAGAGGCUACGACACAUGGGAUGUUCCCUCCCUUCUGUCUGCCAGAGCAAUGACAGCUGACUGUUUAAAAAUUAUUAUGGUACAAUAUACAUAAUGCAAUUUAUAAUCUUUUAAGUGCACAGUUCAGUGGCAUUAAGUAUAUUCACAGGGUCGUGCAACCAACAGCACCCUCCACCUGCAGAAAUCGUCACCUGGCAAAACGGAAACUCUACCCACUAUGCACUAACUCCUCUUUCCCUCUCCUCCGGGCCCUGGCAACCGCCAUUCUACCUUUCGUCUCUGUGGUCUUGACUAUUCUAUGUACUGCAAAUAAAUAGAGUCACACAGCGUUUAUCCUUUUGUGUCUGCAUCUGCCAGGAGGGCGUUGUCAGGUUUAUUUCACUCAGCAUAAUGCCUUCAAGAUUCAUUCAUGUGGUAGCAGGUAUCAGAAUUCCCUUCCUUUUUGAGGCUGAAUCAUAUUCCAUUGUAUGGAUGGGCUACACUGUGCAUUCAUUCAUCUCUCUGUGCACACUGGGAUUGCUGCUACCUCUUGGCUGCUGUGUACAGUGCUGCUAUAAAACAUGGGUGUGUAUACCAGGUGUGGUGGCUCAUGCCUGUAAUCCCAGCACUUUGGGAGGCCCAGGCGGGUGGAUCGCUUGAGCUCUGGAACUCAAGAUCAACCUGGGCAACAUAGUGAGACCCUGUCUCCACCAAAAAUACAAACAAUUAGCCAGGUGUGAUGGGGUGCACCUGUAGCCCCAGCUACUUGGGAGGCUGAGGUGGGAGAACCACCUGAGCCUGGCAGGUUAAGGCUGCAGUGAGCCAUGAUUGCACCACUGCACUCCAGCCUGGGCAACAGAGUAAGACCCUGUCUCACAACAAAAACAAACAAACAAAAGAACACGGGUAUGCAAAUAUCUGUUCACGUUCCUGCUUUCAAUUCUUUUGGGUAGACUGCUGAUGUUUGUUGAUCUCCACCGGUGCCAGGCGUUGUUCUAAGUGUUUUGUAUACAUUAGCCGAUUUCAUCGGACAGCCUAAUGAAGUGGGCACUAACUCUCUUCUUUUCACAGAUGAGGAAACUGAGGCACAGAGCGGUCCAGUCAUGUGCCAGCCAGUGGUGAAGCUAGGAGCCCCUUCACUAAGCACAGUGUUAUCUUGCUUCUCCUCCAACGUUGCUCAGCGUCUGAAAUUCAGCUUGAUGUAUUUAAGUCAGACACAAGAAAGGACUUCUAGACCAAGGAGUUUAGAUGCAGAAAUGGGAGGAGGAAGCCAGGCCAAGGAUUCCUUUUCGUAUUUGGCAGAUGGAGAAACCGAGGCCUGAUGAGCUCUCUGGUACUGAUGCAAAAUGCCUAAGUGCAGCUCCGGUCCCUUCUGCCUGGGGUUCCUGUAGAACAUGGGCCCUUCUCGGAGCCGGCAUAAUUUCCAGGAAAACAGCUGCAGAGCUACGGCCUAUGCAGGGUUCUGCCAAUGACAGAGGCCAGUCACGUGGCAGGACCUCUCUUGGGAAGCCCAGUGCUGCUUCAUGGGGCUGUUUGGAG
rnacentral:lncRNA from 1 species